GACGAACGCUGGCGGCGUGCUUAACACAUGCAAGUCGAACGGAAAGGCCCUGCUUGCAGGGUGCUCGAGUGGCGAACGGGUGAGUAACACGUGGGUGAUCUGCCCCUUACUUUGGGAUAAGCCUGGGAAACUGGGUCUAAUACUGGAUAGGACCAUGCUGUAGGUGGUGUGGUGGAAAGAUUAGUUUCGGUAAGGGAUGAGCUCGCGGCCUGUCAGCUUGUUGGUGGGGUAAUGGCCUACCAAGGCGUCGACGGGUAGCCGGCCUGAGAGGGUGGACGGCCACAUUGGGACUGAGAUAAGGCCCAGACUCCUACGGGAGGCAGCAGUGGGGAAUAUUGCACAAUGGGCGCAAGCCUGAUGCAGCGACGCCGCGUGGGGGAUGACGGCCUUCGGGUUGUAAACUCCUUUCAGCCAUGACGAAGCCCUUGUGGUGACGGUAGUGGUAGAAGAAGCACCGGCUAACUACGU
rnacentral:rRNA from 1 species